CCACCACUAAGCCAGUGGUGAACUCCACAUACGCAUCCUUUGCUGAGGAUACGGUUAACGGAGCGAAAGCGACGUUCAACCGCAAAAGAAGCAGAGGGGGCUUAGUGGUGGGGUGACUGCGUACCUUUUGUAUAAUGGGUCAGCGACUUAUAUUCUGUAGCAAGGUUAACCGCAUAGGGGAGCCGCAGGGAAACCGAGUCUUAACCGGGCGUUAAGUUGCAGGGUAUAGACCCGAAACCCGGUGAUCUAGCCAUGGGCAGGUUGAAGGUUGGGUAACACUAACUGGAGGACCGAACCGACUAAUGUUGAAAAAUUAGCGGAUGACCUGUGGCUGGGGGUGAAAGGCCAAUCAAACCGGGAGAUAGCUGGUUCUCCCCGAAAGCUAUUUAGGUAGCGCCUCGUGAACUCAUCUUCGGGGGUAGAGCACUGUUUCGGCUAGGGGGUCAUCCCGACUUACCAACCCGAUGCAAACUGCGAAUACCGGAGAAUGUUAUCACGGGAGACACACGGCGGGUGCUAACGUCCGUCGUGAAGAGGGAAACAACCCAGACCGCCAGCUAAGGUCCCAAAGUCAUGGUUAAGUGGGAAACGAUGUGGGAAGGCCCAGACAGCCAGGAUGUUGGCUUAGAAGCAGCCAUCAUUUAAAGAAAGCGUAAUAGCUCACUGGUCGAGUCGGCCUGCGCGGAAGAUGUAACGGGGCUAAACCAUGCACCGAAGCUGCGGCAGCGAACGUAUCACUUAAAGCGAUUCAGCGGGUUACGAUUGACGGAGCGAAGCGACGUCAAAGCGUAUACAAAGUCGAGUCGGUUUAAGGAUACGUUCGUUGGGUAGGGGAGCGUUCUGUAAGCCUG
rnacentral:rRNA from 1 species